rnacentral:misc_RNA from 1 species
CCUCCUGUAUGCUGGGCAUUUGAUUCUGUAACUUCAUGAUGCAGUGGUUUAUCAGCUAUAAAUUGUAGUGCCAUUGGUAAAUUUUUGCCAUGCGCAUAUGCAUGGAGUUUAAGCCUUUAAAAGCCCUUUGUUGAAAAAUUGCGAAGGACAGGACUAUAUCUUGACUUCCAUUUUCUGGGCCCUCUUUAGUUAGGACCAGCAUUGGG